CAAACAAUUACCAGCAACUGGAAUUUUAAAACUAACAUAAAGAUUAAGUUUUUACAAAGGACCUUCCCAACACAUAACAACGUAUUUAUGCCAUUAUCUGUCUGUGUGAUUUCAGAGAUGCUGUUACAGGAACCUCGAAUAAGCAUGAUAAAGCUUGUGGAACUUCCCAGAACUUCCAUUUUGAUGCUUGCCAGCGUGGGAAACUGCAAUUGUCACUUACUUGUAGGGAUACACAUCGUGGAAACAAUGUGAGACAGAUAGAAGCCACCCAGUAUUUAUCAGCGUUGCACCACAAGUAUGCCCUAAGGUAUCAAAGUGGAGGCUGACUUGCCAGGGCCACUCACCAAGCUCCGCAUCAUUACCAUUGACAAUUCGACUUUGAAGGAAGGGUCGGUUUCCACAGUCUGUGUAAAAAGAGAAGCUCCUUGUUGUAUGAAGUUACGUUAACAGUUCCAAGAUUUUAAACUUGAACAAGUAGAAAUGUAUUAGUGUUUCUAUUGUUUAAAUGUUUAUUUUGUAGUGGACGGCCUGAAUU